ACAGCAGUAGCCGCGGUAAUACGAAGGUCCCAAGCGUUGUUCGGAAUCACUGGGCGUAAAGGGAGCGUAGGCGGCGUGGUAAGUCAGAUGUGAAAUCCCGGGGCUCAACCCCGGAACUGCAUCCGAUACUGCCAUGCUUGAGGGUUGGAGAGGUAGCUGGAAUUCUCGGUGUAGCAGUGAAAUGCGUGGAUAUCGAGAGGAACACUCGUGGCGAAGGCGAGCUACUGGACAACAUCUGACGCUGAGGCUCGAAGGCUAGGGUAGCGAAAGGGAUUAGAUACCCCUGUAGUCCCUGUCUCUUAUAC
rnacentral:rRNA from 1 species